rnacentral:ncRNA from 1 species
CUCAUCCGCAUACGCAUUGGCUGACGCCAGCGGCGAAAGGGCCAAAAGGAGCGCCCGACAAAUCCGGCCGGGCGAGGAAAAGAAGCGCGUCGAUGAAAAGCCUGAAGGCUCAGGAAUGCGCAUGGCGCCAAGUAUGGCCGAUA